rnacentral:rRNA from 1 species
UCCUACGGGGAAGCAGCAGUGGGGAAUUUUGGACAAUGGGCGCAAGCCUGAUCCAGCCAUGCCGCGUGAGUGAAGAAGGCCUUCGGGUUGUAAAGCUCUUUCGGCCGGGAAGAAAUCGUGUUCUCUAACAUAGGACAUGGAUGACGGUACCGGACUAAGAAGCACCGGCUAACUACGUGCCAGCAGCCGCGGUAAUACGUAGGGUGCGAGCGUUAAUCGGAAUUACUGGGCGUAAAGCGUGCGCAGGCGGUUUUGUAAGACAGAUGUGAAAUCCCCGGGCUUAACCUGGGAACUGCGUUUGUGACUGCAAGGCUAGAGUACGGCAGAGGGGGGUGGAAUUCCUGGUGUAGCAGUGAAAUGCGUAGAUAUCAGGAGGAACACCGAUGGCGAAGGCAGCCCCCUGGGCCUGUACUGACGCUCAUGCACGAAAGCGUGGGGAGCAAACAGGAUUAGAUACCCUGGUAGUCCACGCCCUAAACGAUGUCGACUAGUCGUUCGGAGCAGCAAUGCACUGAGUGACGCAGCUAACGCGUGAAG